GAUUGAGGGAGGGGGGGAGGAAACACAACGACACAGACUGACACAGAAAACGGAGCCUUAGUUUCCAUGCAGCUUAUUCAGUCUCAGCCACUUCAUUGCUGCUCUCCGUCAGUGUGUGGAUUCUUUGCUCGGUCUACCAGAGUGAGGCAAGACCACGGAGCUGACCUACAGGACAGGAACUGUGCAAAGAGGAAGUGAUUAAACACAGUUCGGCACUCACAACUGUAACAGAUCUCAGAGGUGCUUUGUCGAACACUUUAAAUAUCAAAUGCUGCCCCUCUGCGAUGCUGCCGACAGUUUAAGAAGGCAGCAUUAAACAUGGAUUAUAACAGGAUCCCACCCAAGCAGGGGCAGAAGAAGUGGCACGCUGUUUCCCCUCUGCAAUGUCUCCUUGCUGUUUCAGCGGUGAUGCAUCCAGACAGCUGUGCUCUGUGCUCCAUAUCUCCUGUCUGGCAGAGCUGCACUGCAGAGGAGCUCCAGACCUGAGCAGCUGAGACUCCGAGCUGGGGGAUUGGAUUGGAUGGAUGGAUGAAUGAAUGGCUGGAGAGAUGCCGAUUCCCUGUCCUGAACUACCUCUCUCACACACGCGCAGUCCUGUAAUGGCUGUCUCCCUGCAGCACAACUCUGUGUAGCUCAGAGCCCUUCGGUGAACAGGAGGGCUCCGGGAGCAGGUUGGGGUUUCUGAAUCGUCUGUCUGCUGCGUCUCCUCUCAAAGCAGUGUCGAGCCCCAUGCCUGCCUGCACCCGACUGCCCUGGAGACAGUAAGCAUCGCCGCCUUUCAAUACAGCAUGGGAUACAGGCUCCUGUGUGUGUCUGUGCGGCGCAUCACACACAAUGCAUGAUGCACACAAUACUGGAAAUGUGUAUGCAUGCAUGUGUGCAAGUGUGUAUGAUGUGCAGGCAUGUUUGCAUGCAUGUAUGUGUGUAUGUCUGCGUGUAUGUGUGUAAGCAUCGGAGUCAUGUCAAGCCUGCAUGCAUGUCUUUGCUGUCGCUGGUCCCUGCAAUAAGAAUGAAUGUGUUUUUCCUUGAAGCCAGUUUCCCUUGUAUAAGGUAUUGCUUUAAAUGUGUGAGAUUCCUUUCUGCAGAACGAUUAAACUAAAACACUUAAGGGGAGAACUAAGCAGAAAUCUAACUUCAGGAAUUUUAUAGUGCUUUCCUGCCACCAUGUCUCUGUAUAAACCCUAACCCUAACCCUAACCAUAAUAAUUACCCUAUCCCUAACCCUAACCCUAACC